rnacentral:rRNA from 1 species
GAGAGGACCGGAGUGGACGCAUCACUGGUGUUCGGGUUGUCAUGCCAAUGGCACUGCCCGGUAGCUAAAUGCGGAAGAGAUAAGUGCUGAAAGCAUCUAAGCACGAAACUUGCCCCGAGAUGAGUUCUCCCUGAGACUUUAGAUCUCCUGAAGGAACGUUGAAGACGACGACGUUGAUAGGCCGGGUGUGUAAGCGCAGCGAUGCGUUGAGCUAACCGGUACUAAUGAACCGUGAGGCUUAACCUUACAACGCCGAAG